rnacentral:rRNA from 1 species
GACGAACGCUGGCGGCGUGCUUAACACAUGUAAGUCGAACGGUGAAAGCGGAGCUUGCUCCGCUGGAUCAGUGGCGAACGGGUGAGUAACACGUGGGCAACCUGCCCCUCACUUCGGGAUAACUCCGGGAAACCGGGGCUAAUACCGGAUAUGACCUCCUUGGGCAUCCUUGGAGGUGGAAAGUUUUUCGGUGAGGGAUGGGCCCGCGGCCUAUCAGCUUGUUGGUGAGGUAGCGGCUCACCAAGGCGACGACGGGUAGCCGGCCUGAGAGGGAGACCGGCCACACUGGGACUGAGACACGGCCCAGACUCCUACGGGAGGCAGCAGUGGGGAAUAUUGCGCAAUGGGCGAAAGCCUGACGCAGCAAUGCCGCGUGAGGGAAGACGGCCUUAGGGUUGUAAACCUCUUUCGGUUGGGACGAAGCUUCUAGGGUUAAUAGCCCUAUGGAGUGACGGUACCUUCGGAAGAAGCCCCGGCUAACUAC